GGGUGGUCCCCUCGCAAUGCCAGGUAGCGAACCCCGCCAGGCCCGGAAGGGAGCAACGGUAGUUACUGAGGCGUGUGCCGGGGUGUGGCUGCCUGGG
rnacentral:SRP_RNA from 1 species